rnacentral:rRNA from 1 species
UUUUAUGAGAGUUUGAUCCUGGCUCAGGACGAACGCUGGCGGCGUGCCUAAUACAUGCAAGUCGAACGCUUCUUUUUCCACCGGAGCUUGCUCCACCGGAAAAAGAGGAGUGGCGAACGGGUGAGUAACACGUGGGUAACCUGCCCAUCAGAAGGGGAUAACACUUGGAAACA